rnacentral:rRNA from 1 species
GGGGGGGGGGGGGGGGGGGCGGGAGGGGGGCAGGGCGAGGGGCGGGGGAAGGUGGCUGGCUGUCGGGGUGGCGACCGGCGCACGGGUGCGUAACGCGGAUGCCACUUGCCCUAUACAGGAGGAUAACCCGUCGAAAGACGGACUAAUACUGCGUAUGCUCACAACUUGGCAUCAAGUGGUGAGGAAAGAAAUUCGGUAUAGGAUAGGCAUGCGUCCCAUUAGCUUGUUGGUGAGGUAACGGCUCACCAAGGCAACGAUGGGUAGGGGAACUGAGAGGUUUAUCCCCCACCCUGGGACUGAGACAAGGACCAGACUCCUACGGGAGGCAGCAGUGAGGAAUAUUAGUCAAUGGGCGCGAGCCUGAACCAGCCAAGUCGCGUGAAGGAUGACUGUCUUAUGGAUUGUAAACUUCUUUUAUACGGGAAUAACAAGAGUCACGUGUGACUCCCUGCAUGUACCGUAUGAAUAAGCAUCGGCUAACUCCGUG